rnacentral:rRNA from 1 species
CCUACGGGAGGCAGCAGUGAGGAAUAUUGGUCAAUGGACGAGAGUCUGAACCAGCCAAGUAGCGUGAAGGAUGACUGCCCUAUGGGUUGUAAACUUCUUUUAUAUGGGAAUAAAAUGUUCCACGUGUGGGAUUUUGUAUGUCCCAUAUGAAUAAGGAUCGGCUAACUCCGUGCCAGCAGCCGCGGUAAUACGGAGGAUCCGAGCGUUAUCCGGAUUUAUUGGGUUUAAAGGGAGCGUAGGUGGAUUGUUAAGUCAGUUGUGAAAGUUUGCGGCUCAACCGUAAAAUUGCAGUUGAAACUGGGAGUCUUGAGUACAGUAGAGGUGGGCGGAAUUCGUGGUGUAGCGGUGAAAUGCUUAGAUAUCACGAAGAACUCCGAUUGCGAAGGCAGCUCACUGGACUGCAACUGACACUGAGGCUCGAAAGUGUGGGUAUCAAACAGGAUUAGAUACCCCAGUAGUC